rnacentral:rRNA from 1 species
UUCCGGUUGAUCCUGCCGGACCUGACUGCUAUCGGAUGAUACUAAGCCAUGCGAGUCAUUGUAGCAAUACAAGGCAUACGGCUCAGUAACGCGUAGUCAACCUAACCUAUGGACGGGAAUAACCUCGGGAAACUGAGAAUAAUGCCCGAUAGAACAUUAUGCCUGGAAUGGUUUAUGUUCCAAAUGAUUUAUCGCCGUAGGAUGGGACUGCGGCCUAUCAGUUUGUUGGUGAGGUAAUGGCCCACCAAGACUAUUACAGGUACGGGCUCUGAGAGGAGUAGCCCGGAGAUGGGUACUGAGACACGGACCCAGGCCCUAUGGGGCGCAGCAGGCGAGAAAACUUUGCAAUGUGCGAAAGCACGACAAGGUUAAUCCGAGUGGUUUCUGCUAAAGAAACCUUUUGUCAGUCCUAGAAACACUGAUGAAUAAGGGGUGGGCAAGUUCUGGUGUCAGCCGCCGCGGUAAAACCAGCACCUCAAGUGGUCAGGAUGAUUAUUGGGCCUAAAGCAUCCGUAGCCGGCUCUGUAAGUUUUCGGUUAAAUCUGUACGCUCAACGUACAGGCUGCCGGGAAUACUGCAGAGCUAGGGAGUGGG